AAGUGUUCAUUGAUCCUUUAUUUCACACUCUGUUUCACAGUAUACCAAAAAAAAAUUUUUUAACACAUAGGCCUAUGUAUGAUUAUUAAAGCGAUAAGGUCGUAGAAAAGAAAUACAAGAGAUAUCUCUGUAACUUUAGGGAGGCAAACAUUUUUAAAACAAGAUAUAAAAAGCAUUUAAAACAAGAGAAAAACUUAAUAAAUUGGAUUUUUCAUUAAAAUUAUGAAAUAUUCAUCAAAAGACAACAUUCAGAGAGUGAAAAGGCAAGUGACACACUGGAAGACAACCUCUUCUCCCCCAUCAUGAUAAGAACCUCAUCCAGAAUAUAUAAAAAAAACUACAAAUCAAAAUAAAAAGACUAAGAAUCCCACAGGAAAAUGGGAAAACACUUGAAAUAGGCAUUUAACAAAAGAGGAUAUUCAAAUGACAAUAUGCAUAUGAAAAGGUGCUCAAUGUCAUUUGAUCAGGAAAAUGCAAAUGAACCAUAAUGCAAUAACACACUACCACCAAAAUUAAAAAGACUGUUUAAGACCAAGUGUGAUAGAAAACUAGAAUUCUCAUACUUUACUGAUGGCUAAAUUGGUUAAACCACUUUGGAAAACUGUUCAGUAGGCUUUUAAUUUUUUAGCUUUGAGGUAUAAUUCAUGUACAAUACACUGCAUAUUUUUAAUGUGUAUAAUUUGAUAAAUUUGACAUAUGUAUGCACCCAUGAAGUAAUUACCAUAGUCAAGAACAUAAACACAUCCACCACCCCCAGAAGUUUCCUCAAGCCUUUUGGAGUCCAUCCCUUCUCUCUAUUCUUCACCACUUCAUCUGCAGGCAACCACUAAUCUGCUUUCUAUCACUAUAGAUUAGUUUGUCUUUUCUAGGAUUUUAUAUUCAUGGAAUCAUACAGUAUGUAUUUUGUAUUUAGCUUCUUUUACUCAAGUAAUUAUUUAUAAUUCAUCCAUGUUUAUGUGUCUAUUGAUACUUUUUUAUUGCUGAGUAGUAUUCCAUUGUAUGGCUGUAGUUCCAUUUGUUGACCUAUUCACCUGUAGAUGAACAUCUGUGUCAUUUCCAAUUCUUUGUUAUUACAAAUAAAGCUGCUAUCAAUAGUAAUGUACAAGUCUUUGUGUGGAUAUAUGCCUUAUUUUCUCUUGGAUAAAUACUUGGAUGGAAUGGCUGAGUCAAAGGUAGCUAUAUACGUAACUUUUAAAUGAAUGAGCAGUAGUUUUUAAUAGAGCUAAAUGCACGUAUGCCCUGUGACCCAUCAAGUCCAUCCUGGCUAUGUUCUCAAGAGAAAUGAAUGUGUAUGUCCACCCAAAAAUAUGUAUAAUCAUGUUCAUAGUGCUCUAUUCAUAAUAGCCAGAAAAUGGAUACAUGUUCAACUGUCCCUGAAUGUAGCCAGAAAUCCUCCACCAAUGUGGCGCUCCUGAGUUGCUUCGAGUCAGUAGCAGGUAUUUGUUGUUUAGAAAAUCUUACUGUUAUCAUCACUCUAUUACAUAUACCCUCAAUACUCCUGCCUUUCACUCUUGCCUGUUCUUGUCUGUCACAGCCGAAAACUCCUAAAUUCAGAUCUCCUCCUUCUUCCUCCCAGCACCUGAGGAGCUGAAUGUGACCAAAGAAAAGCAUACCCCCUUGUGACUGGUAUCCCAGUUCUUCUCAAUUAUAAACAGUUCAGAGCCCCUAGGGGGUAUUUGGAAAUGCGACAGGGACCAUUUCUUGAUCAUCACAAUCAUUGAGGGAUGUAAGUGCCAGGGAUACUAAAUGCUCAAGUGACAGGCCUGCUCAAAAGGCCAAUAACAUCUCCACUGGAAAACACUGCUUGACCAUAAACCUCAAGUAGUUAGUGCUGCCCAUAAUCAUGCUGUAAUUCUGUCAUUGACUCCUUUUCCCACUCCCCUAGACGACUUUUAUCUCUUCUCACUUCACACCUCCAACACCUUUUUCUUCCUCCUCAUUUUCAGCUGAAAACCCUAUCUUUUAUUCAAAAGAAAAACCAGGAAAGCUCAGAAAAAAAAUUUCCACUUUCUCUUGAUAUCUACCAAUAUACCUACAACCUAGCCAUGUACUCAGUGUCCCCUACUGUCUGAUGGGUCUAUUUUUUUGAGUCAUGGACUGGAUCCCAUCCCCUCUCACAUACUCAACAAUUUCCCUCCUGCAAUUAUUGUAUCAUCAAUGUUCCCCUCUCUGCUCUAUUAUUCCCAUCAACAUAUAAACAAUUCAUAUAGUUUCACAAUGCCAAAAUAUUCUCCCUUGACAUCAUGUACCCCUUCACGUUUUAGAAGGUGAUAAUUUACAGGGAAUCAGGUCACCUGAUGAGAUUCCCAUCUCACCAGUGACCUUGGGUGGCUGGCUUCUGUACAUCUCUCUGUCUCAUCUAUAAAACGAAAAGGUGAUACUAGUUAACUCUAAGGUUCCUUCCCUGAUUAACAUUUGAUAUCUAUGACAUAUCACCUCACAACAUACAUACCUGGGAAGGCACAGAGCUAGGCUGUUUAAGAAAGGUGUUGCGCAGGGAGUGAAGGGAUGGCUAAGCCACACACUCCACCUGAAGAAAUGGGACAUGGGACAAGAACACAAGUAACUCAUCUACAAGGAAGUUUAACAACAAGAGCCUUAAAAUAGGGAUCAAGUUCAGUGUGGGGGAGAUCAAUGAGCUUUGGGAAAUUGGUGGAGGUUUCCUGGAAGGUAAGAGGUUCAUGACAGGUCUUAAAGGAUACUCAGAGGAAGAGCAUAAAUUCAGAAAUGGAGAAACUCUGGUAGGGUUUAGCCCAAUUUCUUUGGAGGUAAAGUAGUGGGGAAAAGAGGAAGCUGUAAAAAUGGCUUGGGGCCUUAUCAUUGGAAUCUUGAGGUCUGAAUGAAAAGCUAGUUCCUUUACAUGCAGCAUGGAAACUAAUGCUGAAAAAAAACUAAAGAUGAUGGAAAUCAAUACGUUUUGCAGCCCAGCUUGAGUCCUAUAUCCAACAUGACAUUGUGCAAUUAAUUCCAGUCUCUAAUAGAGUGAAUGGGGCUAAAAUAAAAAGAGAAUCAUCUGACUAAUUUGGUCAAAGCACAUCUAGAAAUUGUCCAAAGAGAAUAAGUAAGUAACCCCAAAGUACUGUUGUACCAUAUAUUUUUUUUCUAACUAUAACUGUACAUUUAACUCUGGAACCUAGUCUUUCCAUAUCAAGAACAUUCUAUUCCAAGUUACCAUUGGAGAAUGCCUAUUUCUUAUGUCAUAUUGGGACAUGCAGUUAUUUGGGUGGUUGCCAAGACAAGUCCUGUCAGAGGAAGGACAAAUGGUAAACGACCAAAGUACUCAGUUCUAAGAUCAAAUAUACCUCCUCAUUUAAUUGUUAGCACACUCUUGGUUACUCUGUAUAAGGCUCAACAUUAAACACUUCAGCAGUGUUCAAUAGCCUCCACCACUGGUACCAGCUGUGGGGUUCAAGAAGCUGUAUGGGGAGUCUCAGAGUCUGAAUUCCAAUUCACCAAUUCACAGGUAUCCUUAGGAAAGUAACUGCCUACCACUAUGGGCAAAUUGAAGGCCUGGCUACUUUAAUACCAGGUUCAAAUCCCAGCCUUGCCACUUAAUUAUCUUUGUGCCUCAAUUUCCUCACCUGCAGAAUGGGGAAAAUAAGAGCUCUAGCUUUACAGGAUUGUUGGGAGAACCAAAUGUGUUCAUAUUUUUAGAAUAAUGCUUGGCAUGUGGUAAAGGAUUACAAACACAGGCUAUUGUUAUUUACCUCAACACACUAUUUCAGGCUCUCUCUGAGGUUACAUCAUUGCUUACUGAGGAUUUUAAAUGCAAAAGUCAGGAACAUAGUUUCGGUAUACUCAAAGGACUGUGAAGCAGAAUUUAGGAUGCUCAGAAAUGUGACCUUAUACCUCCACUUCUUCUCCCAGACUCACUGGUGUGAUCAGAGACCCCUGGGAAGAAAGAGAGAAGUUCUGUCAGAAUUCUUUCUUUGAUGGGGUCAUAGUCCUCUGAUACAGCACAUUCUUCAGGAAAACUCCUCCCUUCAUCCACCACUUUAUCCACUUCCAUCUGCCUCCUUCAAUUUCUUGGUGGUUCCUUUUCUUUUUUCCCUUUGGCUGAUUUAUUGAUACCAACUUUUCUUUUUUUCUUACCUAGCCCAUUUUUCAAGUGUGCUUAUGUGUAUAAGGACAACAGGGCAAAUGUGCCAAAGGUCAAAGCCUGAUAAUUGGGUUAGAAUAUUAGUUUCUCUGGUAAGAGGUUGAGAAAUGAGUGCAGAGCUUCUAGGCUCACCCGUGGGAGAAAGUGCUUUGGGAACCAUGUAGUGGGCUGGACUUAGGAGAUCUCUGUUAGCCAGAUUUCCUGUGCAAAACAUGGAGAACAUGCAUUUUAUAUUCUGGUGUGCCUUCCUCACACCUGAUGCUAAGAGAGUUAAAAAUCCAACUCAGGAGUGCCAAUAGGAAUGUUCUUAGACAUGCUGCAAAAUUCAGUUGAGCCCAACAUACUCUCAAAUAUGAUUCUCUCUGGAAAAUCUCUGCAAUGUCACAUCUCACAAGAACCAUGACCAAACAGGAACAUGAUUACCAUGUAAUCUCUCUGGAAUAGCUGCAAAUUCAAAUAAGUUCCUUUUCCUCAAAUGUUCACUUGCAACUGUCAUACCACAUGUCCUAAAUAUUUAUUUGAAAACCAUAAAGUGUUAAAACUGUAAGACAGGAAAGUACAGUAUGGUGUUUGUCCAUAGGUUAUCCAGAAUAAAGGUCAGGACUAACAACUCUCUGCUGGAAUGUGUUUGUUUUCAACACUUUACAGCAAAGUGAGAUUCUUCAAAUAAGACCAUAAUAAUUUGGUAUGGAGAUGGCCAAACCUCCUGGCCUUUAUCGCUGAACACAAUGUCCUAGUCUACUCUAACUCAUUCCGUGACAUAUCUGCUUAAGGAAUCUUGACAUUUUCGUCACUUCUUUUCUCUAUCUCCAGGUUGGUUGCCAAUUCUUGCUAACACUGCAACAGGAUGUAAUCAUUGACCAAAACUCACAGGACUUUGUGAACUGCUUCUGUUGCACUGUGUUCUUUUCAGGAAUUUGCCUUGGCAAAGUCCUUGCAUUUAUUAUAUUACAUUUGGGUGAGCAGAAGCCUUUCUUAAAACUUGUAAUGCUGGCAAAGUCUUACAAUAUCCAGACUCAGGGGGGAGUUGAUCUUGAUUUACAAAGGAUGUGAUGAUGAUAUUACUUCUAGUUGGAUGUAGUUCAUGAUUUACCUUCACAGCUAUAUUUUGAGGUGAUACAGUAUAAGAGAAGCAUAAGGUCUAGGGGUGCCUUGUUGGCUCAGUUGGUCAAGCCCCCAAUUUGUGGUUUCAUUUCAGGUCAUGAUCUUAGGGUUGGGAGAUGGAAGCCUGCAUUGGGCUCCACAGUCAGUGUGGAGUUAGCUUGAGAUUCUUUCCCUCUUCUUCUCCCUCCCCAUUUGCCCCUGCCCUCACUCUCAUGUGUGUACAUGUACCCUAUCUCUCAAAUUAAAAAAAAAAUUAAAAAAAGGAUAAGCAUAAAGAUGAGAUAAAGGCCAGAUAGGUAAGAAAACUGAGAAGCUGAGGUUCAAAUCCAGGCCUUCUACUCCUAGAGCCUGGGUUCUUUCUGCAACACUCUACCAAGUUAAGUGGUAUGAACAAGGAAAAGAAGAAGGAAAAGAAUCUUCAACACUUAAAACAUCGCACACUAUCAGGUCUUUCUAAAUUGGGACAGGCACUCUCUCAUUUGCCAAAGAAAUCCAUCUUUUUUAUCUUUUUGCAAAUAACUCAUUUGAUACCAAAAGUCAUUUAGCUCUUUAGAUAUGUAAACAAGGCAAGACUGAUUUUCUUGCCUCCUCUACUUCCUACCUUCUCCACUUCCUAGCUGUAAUGCAUAUCUCUAUAGAUACAUGCCUAAUUUCUUUUCAUGAUAGUACAGUAUAAAGUAAAAAAUGAGAACAAACAAAAAAUAUAGAAAUGGGUGUGAAACAGUUAACUACUGCCCCUACCCCAGCAGUAAGUAGGCUAUUUUUAAAAUAUAGUCAAUGAGUACAUAUUUAUAAUGUCAUGUCCAGAAGUAACUAUAAAAGGCAGGGCUUCCAAUUAAUGUGAGAAUCCAGGAUGGCACUUAGCCCAAUUAGUGAAAAAAAAAAAAAAAAAAAUAUAUUUGGUGCAAGUAUUGUGGUCAGGACUGUGAAUACUAUGGUGUUCAAAACAAAUAUUGCAAGUAUGACCUCUUCAAGUGUAUGGUCUAGAUGGGAAGUUUUUGUCUUUCAACAAAACCCACCUGGAGGGUUAAUAAAACUACUCUGGUUAAUGUAGAAAUGCAAAGAAAAUAUUAUGUAGCAGGCAGCAUCCAAAGCCCUAUUUGAAGAAUUGGCUAACAUUGGUCAAUCUGAUUACUGUAAGGAUUUCCCAAGUAGCAAACAGGUAGAGAAAUGGCUGCAGCAAUAGAAAUAUAGCUGAUGAAGAUUCUACAUUGAUUCUACAUUUUUUUAGAAGGUUCUACAUUUUAAAGCUUGACCUUAGAGUAACUGCUCACAGUGACAACCCCUGAAAUUAGUUGCUGUGUAAGAAGGAGGUCAUCAGUCCCUAGCGGACUGGAGGGGUCUCACACCAUCCUGGGUCACACAAGAGGAUGAAUGAUACAAACCGGCAUGAUGAGAAAGGAUCUAGAUGAGAAAAGGGCUUAUAAAUCAUGUAUUAGCCUCUUGAAGAUGUUCUGCUGGAAGAGGGGUUAGCAGGGAAUGAAUGAGUCAUCACAAAUUUAAGUGGGGAGUUGGUGGCUCCCUUUCUGAGGAUGAGCAUGUGGUCCCAAAACAAGUUCAAAGGGCAGAUGUUAGUAUACAAAGAAAGACUGCAAAGUGAGACACGAGAUGUUUUGGACAAGGAAGAUUCUUAGAAUCAUAUGGAAAAUAGUAAAGUGCAUAGCAAAAGAGUUUAGAAUCACAGUCUAGCCCUGAUUAAGUAGAAAGUCUAUAUAUUUAUCACCAUGCAGUAAGUGGAUCAUUGAUUCUAUGUGCUUCCAGAUAUUCAAAUAUCAGAUAUAGGGCAGCCAUGAUGAGUUACGCAAAUACAAAACACAGCAGCUGUUACUAUGAGAUUCCAGCCCUUUUCUCUGCUCAGCCCAGGAGGGCGCCAUGGUCAUUCUUAUUACAGUGAUGCGAGCAGCUGCAGCUGUAAUCAGUUAGUAUCACAAACAUGACCUUUUUGCGACACUUGGACUAGGCUUUUUCCAGACCUCUCUUAUGAGUAGGAAAGGACCUAUUAACUUGCUUUCUAUCAAGAUUCUCCCAGGAUCCUGGACUGACUGAAGAGGAUCUGAUUACAUUUUAGUGCAGAUAGGAGAAUGGACAGAACAGGUGGGAAAGAACUGAUAAAACAGACAUUGCUGGGGAUCUCUGGGUGGCUCAGGGGUUUAGCACCUGCCUUGGGCCCAGGGUGUGAUCCUGGAGUCCCCAGAUCGAGUCCCACAUCGGGCUCCCUGCAUGGAGCCUGCUUCUCCCUCUGCCUAUGUCUCUGCCUCUCUCUGUAUCUCUUAUGAAUAAAUAAAUAAAAUCUUAAAAAAAAAAAAAAA
rnacentral:lncRNA from 1 species